rnacentral:rRNA from 1 species
AUUGAACGCUGGCGGCAGGCCUAACACAUGCAAGUCGAACGGUAACAGGAAGCAGCUUGCUGCUUCGCUGACGAGUGGCGGACGGGUGAGUCAUGUCUGGGAAGCUGCCUGAUGGAGGGGGAUAACUACUGGAAACGGUAGCUAAUACCGCAUAAUGUCGCAAGACCAAAGAGGGGGACCUUCUGGCCUCUUGCCAUCGGAUGUGCCCAGAUGGGAUUAGCUUGUUGGUGGGGUAACGGCUCACCAAGGCGACGAUCCCUAGCUGGUCUGAGAGGAUGACCAGCCACACUGGAACUGAGACACGGUCCAGACUCCUACGGGAGGCAGCAGUGGGGAAUAUUGCACAAUGGGCGCAAGCCUGAUGCAGCCAUGCCGCGUGUAUGAAGAAGGCCUUCGGGUUGUAAAGUACUUUCAGCGGGGAGGAAGGGAGUAAAGUUAAUACCUUUGCUCAUUGACGUUACCCGCAGAAGAAGCACCGGCUAACUCCGUG